GACUAUUAGCUUAUUUAUAACAUUUGUUGAAGAAACAUCUGUCUUCCGAAUGUUCUCAAAAUUGGCCUGACAAAAUUGACCUUACCAAUCCAUUCAUAUGUCUCAAAGUUGACCUUCUAUCUUCAUAUCACUUAUAAUUUGUUAUAAAGAUUUAAAUAUAUUCUUUUUGUUCAACAUAACAUUUAGAAAGCAACUUUUACAGGUCGAUAUUAUGUAUAUGGCAAACAACUUCAGCUGGAGAAAAAACAUGCCAAUGACAAGGUUUGCAAUUAUUCCUCUAUCAUUUUGGCCAUUAAAUUACUAUUGUCCAUAUUAAUUGUUCUAUCACUAACCCAUCUGGCCUAACAUACUGACAGUUGUUUUUUCAUAUAUUUUUUUUGACUUGAAGUUGUUUUUUCAUAUAUUGUAUUAUGACACCUUUGUAUUAUCAUUAAACUUGAAACGUCAACCUUUUAGUAACCCUAUUUUAUCAGAAUUGGUCACUUUUCAUUCAUACAAACUAUCGUAAGCAAUCUUUAGUUCAUCACUUAGAAUCCCCGCCGCAACGCGCGGGGUAUCACCUAGUAUAUAAGGUGAUGAGGCCGGAUAUCUCUUGAAGUUUUUUUUUGGUUGUGGUGGUAGUUGGGGGGGGGGGGGGUAAUACGUAAGGGAAAUUCGACAAACUAUUGUUCAAUAUCUUCCUUGUGGUUUUCGAAUUAUGGACCAAGGUUGUGCUCGAUCGACGAGCGAAAUCUCAGAUGAUUCAACAUUUUCCGUGUGGUUUCCGAAUUAGCUAGCUUGCACUAUACGUGCUAUUUUUAUCACGUUUGUAAUAAAAUGCACCGGUCCAGCUCACAACAAAGUCAUUUAUUUUCAAUAGACAGGGAGACCCAACUCUACAGCUCAAUUAUAAUUUCAAAAUAAAUGAUUUAAAGUCCAAAUAGCAUGUCAAAAGCAUUAAUCAAAUAGAACUUUCGAAAAUAAAGAAAUCCAACGAAAAGCAUAUGGUUUAAAUGAAAGGAUGGAAAAUGAAGCAACAAAAUGUGCAGCUCACGAAAAGUUAAAUUUUUAAAAAGAAAAUCAGAGAGAUUGAUGGGUAACCUUUUGAGCUACCCUAAAGGAACUAAGAUUUUAUCCAUCUAGAUUGGGCUACACAAAUUCGACAACCAGGUUACCUACUGUUUUUAGGUUGGGACUAUGCAGUGUUUUAUGAAUUUUUAGACCAUGAUGCAAAGACUCAAAAAAUUUAGCCAAAAUUCGUGGAGUCUGCUGGGUAUGUCUACAAGCUACUGUUAAAAGAUAGCAUGAUUAUCUUUUACGGUUUGGACUACAUAAAAAGAAGAACGCCGCUGUCUAAAGAUUUCAGAACACGGUUAUGCACACUAAUUGAGUUUUUACCCUAUGAUACAAAGGUCCAAAAAUCACACCAAAAUUCAUGAUGCCUAUUCUACAUGUUCCUUGUAAAAAUUCUCAGGUCUAUCGUCUACGGUUUAGCCUAGGCAAAAUUAACAGACUGACUCGAAAUUCCAAAACACGAUCAACCGACACAGAAAGAAACUUCAUUCAUGUUUUAAGUUACCUAAAUUCCUCAUCUUUUGUUUACAUUAGGUUAGGGUGGUACAGAGGCUAUGUGAAUUUUGGGUGGUCCAUCUAAGCAACAAUCUACAGGUUUAAGCACAACAAUUUUAUCCUUCACAAACUACCCAUUCUAGACCAUGUCAGUAAAAUUUGAAAUGUCGGAAGAGAGGAGUUCAAAAUCUACCAAAUUCAUUUUUUUUGGUGCAGAGAUAACAUAAGGAGAUGGAAACCAUAUCAUGUCUUUCAAGAUUUAAAUUUUAUCCAUCCAUUUUCAAAUCCUAUAACUAGAGGCUAUUUUUAACCCGAUAUUUUGCAAAUCCGUACUAGUACAUAGGUGAUUGCAAAUGGAUUUCAAAACUUUUCAAAACACUUUGGAACUGAUUUUUUAUGAUUAAUAAGUGUUUUCAAACUCAUUUUCACUUUAGUACAAGCUUUCAAAAGGUCUCGGUCCUAUAGAGCAAGAUAAGAGUUUUCAAAAUCAAAAUAGAGACCUAGAGGAAAGUAAUCUCUAGAGAGGGAUGAUAUAUAAGGUUGAAUAUGAUUUUCGCAAAAUAAUUUGUAGCUGAGAGCAAAACCCUCAAAAUAAUUUUAAGAAACCAUUCUAAACGACCAACUUAAGGGGUUCCUAUAGUUGGUAUUAGCUCUGGUACCAUGCCUGUGGAGGACACCUGAACUUUACAUUAUAUCUGCCAAUUGAAGUGAACAAUUCAAAUCAAGUAGCAGGCAUAAUGUAAAAUCCGAAGCCUCAAGUAAAGGAUAUAGGAGACAUUGCUGGGACUUUAGCUUGCCAGUUAACUUCAGCCUGAGAUGUGUCCGUCAAACCACACGAAGGCAGUGACUAGAUGUGUUACACAUUCAGGAAACUUGACGAAAAUAGCUAAAGCUCUACGACAUCCCAAAUAUCCUAAACCCUUACUCAUGUGGAACUAGUUCCUAGGAUAUCCACUAGCUUCACACUUUCAUCUUAAGCAAUGAUACACAGAAGAAAAUACAAGACAAACAAAAUUCAAUUACAACUACUUUAGUUAUACAUAGGCCAACUAGCCAAAUAAUCAGAGAUUCGCGCAAGCUUGCCUACCCAAACAACAAGCAAACCGACUAGGGGGUUGACCCCAAUUAGAAUCUAAUUCCUAGAAGAAACGGUUGAAACCCGCAUCACUCAAUAAACACUAAGCAUACAACCUACAAAAAUGGAUACUCUAGUAUAACAAGAGUCAGUACAUCAUUAGAAAUAAUGUACUGCCAAGCCUAAAGCAAUUCUAACAUAUUACAUGCAGGGCAUAUAUUCAAGGAAGGCUAUAUGUAGUUAAAUUUUAGCGUAAAGCAAGUUUUGGUUCACAAUUCCUUUCAAAGGAGUUGAUGAUUCAAUUAACAAAACAAAUUCUGUAAUUAUAUCAUAAAGAACAUCAUAGUACCAUCAUAAGCAUAGCUGCCUUCCUUGGCAAGGCAUAAUAUCAUCAUCACACGCGCACACACACUCAACACAACACAUUUCAAGAGAGAAAACUAGAAAUGUUUGAUACACGCAAACCAUGAUUUUCAUAAAGGCUUGGAUGUGCAACAAAAUGCAUGGAUGAGAAAUGAAGCGUAACGAAGAAACCAAUAAAUCGUUAGGGACAAGCAAACUAUGAUUUGCAUAAAAUCAGUAAGCUGCAAUCAAAUGUAGACGUCUAGCUCGCAACCAAGAUAUUCUUCGAUAAACAGGGUAACAUAACUAUAAAAAUUAAAUUAGUUAUAAGUCUACUAUUAAAACGUCGGAGCACAAAAAAGCCGCAAGGAUUAAAUACAAGCAAAUAUUUUCUUUUCACAAACUAGUAAGCAUAAGUUUAUACAAAAUUUCACAAACUAAAAUAAAGCUUUAAAGUCCAAAGAGAAGUUCCAAAAAGAGAAAAAUUGUAACUGAAGAAAUCAAACUUAAAGUACCAAGUUGAAAUUUAAUGUUGAAAAAAAAACCGUUACGCGAGAAACAAAAGUAAGAUUCAACGAAAGGACGGAAAAUGAAACAUCAAGGAAGAAACCUAGAAUCAUUUGAUACAAAAAAGCCGCAAGGUUUAAAUGCAAGCAUAUAUUUUCCUUUCACAAACAAGUAAGCAUAUGUUCGAACAAAAUUUUCGAAAGCGUCAACGGAGAAACCAAUAAAUUGUUCGGACAAGCAUACUACGAUUUUCAUAAAACCAAAUAGCAUGUCAAAAACAUUAAUACAAUAGAACUUUCGAAAAUAAAGAAAUCCAACAAAAAUAAUAUGGUUUAAACGAAAGGAUGGAAAAUGAAGCAUCAAGGGAGAAAACUAGAAAUGUUUGAUAAAAUGAAACCAUGAUUUUCAUAAAGGCAUAGAUAUGCAACAAAAUGCAAGGGUGCAGCUCACGAAAAGUUAUGGAUUAAAAAUGAAGCGUCAACGGAGAAACCAAUAAAUCGUUCCGAACAAGCAAAUUAUGGUUCUCAUAAAAUCAAUAGGAUGCAACCAAAUGUAGAUGUCUAGCAUGUAACCAAUAUAUUAUUUUCGAUAAAUAGGGACACGAAACUCUUGAACUUAGUUCUAAGUCUACGAUUAAAACGCCAGAGCACAAAAAAGCCGCAAGGUUUAAAUGCAUGCAACUAUUUCCUUUUCGAAUAUGGGUCAGCCUACUUAGGAAUUCAUAUUAUUUAUGUGGCUCUUACGAUGAUUUUGUCUUUGGUGGGGGUGGUAUGAGAACCUAUCCUUGUUUGGUUGGUGGAAUACGAUCUAAGGUGUAAUGGCUAUGUUGUUUUCCAAUAACAAUACGAUAUUAUUGAUUUUAAAUGUUUAUAAAACUUUUCAAGAAUACUUGAUUUAGAAUCUCUAACCAUUAGGAUGUAACAAGGUUCAAGUCUUCAUGGUCUACAGUCAUGAUCUAACCUUGUUGAUCUCACAUUCGAUAAAUUUAAGUUUUAGGACAGCAAGUAAGGCGGUUGGGAAAAUAAGGAUAAAUUGAACAAAACUCUGGGUUACAUCUUAGGGGUUGACAAUAUUUGUUCUCCAGUUGCUAAUUAGUCAUAUGCAAUCUAAUCCAAGGUGUUCUAGGAAUAUUUGUCGAGUCAUACUGGAUGCAUCAGGACGGUCUCAUUAUGUGCAUCCAUAAACUUGGUCGUGGUAGAAAACGGGAUGCUAGAUGGCAUGUGCAGCAAUAACUUUUCUUUUUCUCAAAAAGGCAAAGAUGUAUGUAUGAUAUCAUGAUGAAUGAAAUGAUGCGAUGCAUGUAUGAUAUGAUACAAUGCUUAUGGAGAUAUUUUGUAUUGCGUACAUGCCAUAGAACAAUCCUUUCGGGAAAAUUGUUCUUGAGACUAUUGAUCCUACUCAUGGUUUUUCAUGGGCAUUGGAAUGGUUGUAACUCUUUAUACGCUAUAGGCUAGGAUAAGGUGACAAAAUUAAACAUUUUUUUACCUAGACUCGUAACAAAGUUCUCCUUAUCUAGGAAAGAGAUGGUAAUUUUAAAACAAAUGGAUUAUCUUAGAGAAGUUUUCAAAACCUAAAAGUGAAGUUCCUAAACCAUGUUGUGAGUUGCUACGAUGUACAAAUCUUGCAUCCGACCGUAAAGGGUCACAAAAUUUGCACACUGAGCCAUCUCAUCUUAAAUUACAUAGUUUGCUUACGACUUGUUCCUAGUAUGAUAUUUCCAUUUAGGCUUGUGGGGGCUUGCAAAGGUUACAUGUUGUCUCUGGGUUUGUAAGUUCAUGGCACUCUAUCCCCCUUAAAAUAAAAUAAAAUUUUGCAAUGGGGUUUAUCAAGAAAUUUAAAUGGAAGAGCUAAAUAGGUCUAUGUGCCAUAUGCUGUACUAUCCAGUCCCGAGGCGCAAACUGAAGCAAAAGACUAUGCUAGAUGGGUGAUAAAUUAGAAAAAAAUUAUAUCCAUGAUCCUAACAAAGUUUUCUCCUAUCUGGGAAGGAAUGUUGAUUUUUUGGACAAAUAGAUUAUUUUAGAGAAAUUGGGCAAGACAAGUGAUGCAGUGCUGGAAUUUAUCGGUCUACUAUCUUUACCUAAUUUUUAGGUAAGUUCUAAAGGUUCAUAAGAAAUUUUUAAAAAGAAAAUCAGAGAGAUUGAUGGGUAACCUUUUGAGCUACCCUGAAAGAACCAAGAUUUUAUCCCUUCUAGAUUGGGCUACACAAAUUCGAUAAACAAAGUAUUUUUUUUUCGAUAAACAAGGUAACGUAACAACAAAAAUUAAAUUAGUUAUAAGUCUACUAUUAAAAUGCCGGAACACAAAAAAGCCGCAAGGUUUAAAUGCAAGCAAAUAUUUUCUUUUCACAAACUAGUAAGCAUAAGUUUAUACUACAAAAUUUAGGAAAUUGAGAUUUCAAAACGAAAAUAAAGCUUUAUAGUCCAAAGAGAAGUUCCAAAAAGAGAAAAUUUGUAAUUGAAGAAAUCAAACUUAAAGUACCGAGUUGAAACCUAAUGUUGAAAGAAAAACCCGUUACGCAAGUAAGAUUCAACGAAAGGACGGAAAAUGAGUUAUAAGUCGAAAAUGAAAAUGGUAGAGAACAAAAAAGCCCAAGAUUUAAAUGCAAGGAAAUAUUUUCUUUUCACUAACUAGUAAGCAUAAGUUCAAUCAAAAUUUAGGAAAUCUGAUAUUUCAAAACUGAAUUAAAGCUUUAACGUCCAAAGAGAAUAUCAAAAGCAUUAGUAGGAGAGAAAGUUCGAAAACAAAGAAAUCCAACUAAAAGCGUUCAGUUUGAAUGAAAGGACGGAACAUUGAAGCGUGAAGGGACAAACCUAAAAACGAUCCAUACAAGGAAAUCAAGAUUUUUAUAGAAGCUUCAAGGUGCAACAGAAUGUAUGGGUCCAGUUUACAACGAUGUUAUUUGUUUUCAAUAAACAAGAAGACGAAUCCAAAUAACUCAAUUAAUAAGUUCAAAAUUAACGUCAGAGCAAAAUAAAACGGUCAGGCUUCAAUGCAAAAGAAUAUUUUGCUUUUAUAAAACAGAAAAAAAAAGUUCAAACAAACUUAAGGAAGAUUAACCGUGACAACGAAAAAAAUUGCAAACUCCAAAAAGGAUAUUUGAAGAAUCAAUGCAAGAAGAACAUUACAAAAUCAAGGAAUCCAACUAAAAGUACAAAAUUUUAAACUUAUGGAUAAAAAAUAAAGCGUCAACGAAGAACCCAUAAAUCGUUUGGAACAAGUAAACUACGGUUUUCAUAAAAUCAAAAUGAUGCUACCAAAUGUAGAAGUCUAGCCCGCAACCAAGAUAUUUUUUCGAUAAACAGGGAAACGUAACUCUAGAACUUAGUUAUAAGUCUACGAUUAAAACACCAGAGCACAAAAAAGCCGCAAGGAUUAAAUGCAAGCAAUAUUUUCACGAACCGGUAAGCAUAAGUAGAUACAAAAUUUAGGAAAUUGAGAUUUCAGAACUAAAAUAAAGUUUUAAAGUCCAAAGAGAAGUUCCGAAAAGAGAGUACCUAGUUGAAAUUCAAGUGUGAAAAACAACCGUCACUUGAGAAACCAAAAUAAAGUUUUAAAGUGCAGUUAGCGUGUCAAAAGCAUUAAUACAAGAGAACUUUCGAAAAUAAAUAAAUCCAACGAAAAGCAUAAUGUUUAAAGGAUAGGUUGGAAAAUGAAGCAUCAAGGGAGAAAACUAGAAAUGUUUGAUACAAAGAAACUGUGACUUUUAUAAAGGAUUAGAUGUGCAACAAAAUGCAUCGGUCCAGCUCACAAAAGGUUAUUUGUUUUCAAUAAACAGGGAGACCCGACUCUACAACUCAAUUAUAAGUUCAAAAUUAACGUCGGAGCAAAAUAAAACGGUUAGGCCUCAAUGUAAAAUGAAUAUUUUGUUUUGUUAAACCAGAAAACAAAGUUCAAUCAAACUUUACGAAGACGAACCGUGACAACCAAAAAAAAAAGGAAACUCCAAAAAAGAUAUUUGAAGAAUGGAUGCAAGAAGAACGUUACAAAAUCUAGAAGCGUCAACGAAGAAAACAAUAAAUUGUUAGGGACAAGCAAACUACGAUUUUCAUAAAAUCAGUAAGAUGCAACCAAAUAUAACGUAAACCCGCAACAAAGAUAUUUUUUCUCGAUAAACAGGGUAACGUAACUAUAGAAAUUAAAUUAGUUAUAAGUCUACUAUUAGAUCAUCAGAGCAAAAAAAAAGCCGCAAGGUUUAAAUGCAAGCAAAUAUUUUCUUUUCAAAAAACUAGUAAGCAUAAGUUUAUACAAAAUUUAGGAAAUUGGGAUUUCAGAACUAAAAUAAAGCUUUAGAGUGCAAAUAGAAGUUCAAAAAAAGAGAAAAUUUGUAAUUGAAGAAAUCAAAUUUAAAGUACCAAGUUGAAACUUAAUGAUGAAAAAAAUCGUUACACGAGAAAGAACAGGAAAUAUUUAAAGUCCAAAUAGCAGAACGUUAAAAAAAAAGCAAUCCAACUAAAAGCAUAAAGUUUAAAUGAGAAGACGGAAAUGAAGCGUCAAGGGAGAAACCCAUAAACGUUUGGUACAAGGAAACCAUGAUUUUUCAUGAACUUAAGGAAGAUGAACUGGGACAACGAAAAAAAAAAUGGAAACACCAAAAAGGACAUUUGAAGAAUAGAUGCAAGAAAAACGUUACAAAAUCAAGGAAUCCAACUAAAAGUAAAAAACUUAAACUUAUGGAUGAAAAAUAAAGCGUCAACGAAGAACCGAUAAAUCGUUCGAAACAAGCAAACUACCGUCAUCAUAAAAUCAUUAGGAUGCAACCAAAUGUAGACAAAAAAUACCAAGUUGAAACCCAUGGAGUAAUAUAAAAAAAAGGUCACACGAGAAACCAAAAUAAAGUAUUAAAUUCCAAAUAGCAGAUCAAAAGUAUUAAUAGAGGAGAUUGUUCGAAGAUAAAGAAAUCCAACUAAAAACAUAAAGUUUAAACGAGAGGACGGAAAAUGAAGCGUCAAGGGCGAAACCUAGAAGCGUUUGAUACAAGGAAAACGUGAUUUUCAAAAACCUUCAAGGUGCAAAAAAAAAAAAAUGCAUGGGUCCAGCUCUCAAUAAAGUUAUUUGUUUUCGAUAAACAUGGAGACCCAACUAUACAGCUCAAGUAUUCAAGUUAUUUGUUUUCAAUAAACGGGGAGACAAAACUCUACAAAUCAACUAAAAGAUCAAAAUUAACGACAAAUCAAAAUAAAUCGGUCAGAGCUUAAUGCAAAAGAAUAUUUUGUUUUUAUAAACCAGAAAACAAAGUUCAAACAAACUUAAGGAAGACGAACCGUGACAACAAAAAUAAUUGGAAACUCCAAAAGGAUAUUUGGAGAAUUGAUGCAAGAAGAAUGUUUCAAAAUCAAGGAAUCCAACUAAAAGUACAAAAUAUAAAUUUCUCGAUGAUAAAUGAAGCAUCAACGGAGAAACCAAGAAAUCGUUUGGUACAACCAAACUACGAUUUUCAUAAAAUCAAUUAGAUGUGACCGAAUAAAGACAUCCAGCUCGCAACUAAAUAUUUUUUUGAUAAAAAAAGGAGACGUAACUCUAGAGUUUAAAUAUAAGGCGAAAAUUAAAACGUCAGAGCACAAAAAAGCCGCAAGGUUUAAAUGCGAGCAACUAUUUUUUUUCACAAACUAGUAAGCAAAAGUUCAUACAGAAUUUAGGAAAUAAAGCUUUAAAGUCUGAAGAGAAGUUCCAAAAAGAGA
rnacentral:lncRNA from 1 species